rnacentral:rRNA from 1 species
UACGAAGGGGGCUAGCGUUGCUCGGAAUCACUGGGCGUAAAGGGUGCGUAGGCGGGUCUUUAAGUCAGGGGUGAAAUCCUGGAGCUCAACUCCAGAACUGCCUUUGAUCCUGAGGAUCUUGAGUACGGGAGAGGUGAGUGGAACUGCGAGUGUAGAGGUGAAAUUCGUAGAUAUUCGCAAGAACACCAGUGGCGAAGGCGGCUCACUGGCCCGUUACUGACGCUGAGGCACGAAAGCGUGGGGAUCAAACAGG